rnacentral:rRNA from 1 species
AUUGAACGCUGGCGGCAGGCCUAACACAUGCAAGUCGAGCGGAUGAAGGGAGCUUGCUCCUGGAUUCAGCGGCGGACGGGUGAGUAAUGCCUAGGAAUCUGCCUGGUAGUGGGGGAUAACGUCCGGAAACGGGCGCUAAUACCGCAUACGUACUGAGGGAGAAAGUGGGGGAUCUUCGGACCUCACGCUAUGAGAUGAGCCUAGGUCGGAUUAGCUAGUUGGUGGGGUAAAGGCCUACCAAGGCGACGAUCCGUAACUGGUCUGAGAGGAUGAUCAGUCACACUGGAACUGAGACACGGUCCAGACUCCUACGGGAGGCAGCAGUGGGGAAUAUUGGACAAUGGGCGAAAGCCUGAUCCAGCCAUGCCGCGUGUGUGAAGAAGGUCUUCGGAUUGUAAAGCACUUUAAGUUGGGAGGAAGGGCAGUAAGUUAAUACCUUGCUGUUUUGACGUUACCAACAGAAUAAGCACCGGCUAACUUCGUG